rnacentral:rRNA from 1 species
UACGAAGGGGGCUAGCGUUGUUCGGAAUCACUGGCGUAAAGGGCGCGUAGGCGGCUUUAUAAGUCGGGGGUGAAAGCCUGUGGCUCAACCACAGAAUUGCCUUCGAUACUGUAGAGCUUGAGACCGGAAGAGGUAAGUGGAACUGCGAGUGUAGAGGUGAAAUUCGUAGAUAUUCGCAAGAACACCAGUGGCGAAGGCGGCUUACUGGUCCGGUUCUGACGCUGAGGCGCGAAAGCGUGGGGAGCAAACAGG